UACGAAGGGGGCUAGCGUUGCUCGGAAUCACUGGGCGUAAAGCGCACGUAGGCGGCCUCUUAAGUCGGUGGUGAAAUCCUGGAGCUCAACUCCAGAACUGCCUUCGAUACUGAGAGUCUCGAGUCCGAGAGAGGUGAGUGGAACUGCGAGUGUAGAGGUGAAAUUCGUAGAUAUUCGCAAGAACACCAGUGGCGAAGGCGGCUCACUGGCCCGGUACUGACGCUGAGGUGCGAAAGCGUGGGGAGCAAACAGG
rnacentral:rRNA from 1 species